UCGAAUGUGGUGCACGGCACACGCCUGCAGAACUUAGCUCUAGACCACUUACGGCAGGAGGACCGGGUUCGACUCCCGGCGUUCGAA